UACGGAGGGUGCAAGCGUUGUCCGGAAUCAUUGGGUGUAAAGGGUGUGCAGGCGGAAGUCUAAGUCGGAGGUGAAAUCUUGCCGCUUAACGGUAAAAGGGCCUUCGAAACUGGAUUUCUUGAGUUCGGAAGAGGUCGGUGGAAUUCGUGGUGUAGCGGUGAAAUGCAUAGAUAUCACGAAGAACACCAGUGGCGAAGGCGGCCGACUGGUCCGAUACUGACGCUGAGACACGAGAGCGUGGGGAGCGAACAGG
rnacentral:rRNA from 1 species